rnacentral:lncRNA from 1 species
AUGAGGACAGUUCGGAAGAAGAUUAAAGCAUUAUGUUUUAUCUAUGUUCUUGUUAUGUGUUGUUCUGUUUUUAGUUAUAGAUUAUGAUUAUGCUGAUUAUGUUUACCGUACACUUAUUUUAAUUCUGUCGUCAUUAUGUGCUUGAAUGCUUAUCUAAUGAUCACAUAAUGUGUGUAUGCUUGUCUACUUUUCUUUUUCAUAAGUUUCUUCCUUUUUGCUAAUGCCAAAGGGGGAG